rnacentral:rRNA from 1 species
CCUACGGGUGGCUGCAGUGGGGAGUAUUGGACAAUGGGGGCAACCCUGAUCCAGCAAUGCCGCGUGGGUGAUGAAGGCCUUCGGGUUGUAAAGCCCUUUCGGCGGGGACGAUGAUGACGGUACCCGCAGAAGAAGCCCCGGCUAACUUCGUGCCAGCAGCCGCGGUAAUACGAAGGGGGCUAGCGUUGUUCGGAAUGACUGGGCGUAAAGGGCGCGUAGGCGGCGCAUUUAGUCAGGCGUGAAAGCCCUGGGCUCAACCUAGGAAUUGCGUUUGAUACUGGUGCGCUGGAGUGCGGGAGAGGAUGGUGGAAUUCCCAGUGUAGAGGUGAAAUUCGUAGAUAUUGGGAAGAACACCGGUGGCGAAGGCGGCCAUCUGGACCGUUACUGACGCUGAGGCGCGAAAGCGUGGGGAGCAAACAGGAUUAGAUACCCCAGUAGUC